rnacentral:rRNA from 1 species
GAUGAACGCUGGCGGCGUGCCUAAUACAUGCAAGUCGAACGCUUUGUGGUUCAACUGAUUUGAAGAGCUUGCUCAGAUAUGACGAUGGACAUUGCAAAGAGUGGCGAACGGGUGAGUAACACGUGGGAAACCUACCUCUUAGCAGGGGAUAACAUUUGGAAACAGAUGCUAAUACCGUAUAACAAUGACAACCGCAUGGUUGUUAUUUAAAAGAUGGUUCUGCUAUCACUAAGAGAUGGUCCCGCGGUGCAUUAGCUAGUUGGUAAGGUAAUGGCUUACCAAGGCGAUGAUGCAUAGCCGAGUUGAGAGACUGAUCGGCCACAAUGGGACUGAGACACGGCCCAUACUCCUACGGGAGGCAGCAGUAGAGAAUCUUCCACAAUGGGCGAAAGCCUGAUGGAGCAACGCCGCGUGUGUGAUGAAGGGUUUCGGCUCGUAAAACACUGUUGUAAGAGAAGAAUGACAUUGAGAGUAACUGUUCAAUGUGUGACGGUAUCUUACCAGAAAGGAACGGCUAAAUACGUGCCAGCAGCCGCGGUAAUACGUAUGUUCCAAGCGUUAUCCGGAUUUAUUGGGCGUAAAGCGAGCGCAGACGGUUAUUUAAGUCUGAAGUGAAAGCCCUCAGCUCAACUGAGGAAUUGCUUUGGAAACUGGAUGACUUGAGUGCAGUAGAGGAAAGUGGAACUCCAUGUGUAGCGGUGAAAUGCGUAGAUAUAUGGAAGAACACCAGUGGCGAAGGCGGCUUUCUGGACUGUAACUGACGUUGAGGCUCGAAAGUGUGGGUAGCAAACAGGAUUAGAUACCCUGGUAGUCCACACCGUAAACGAUGAGUGCUAGGUGUUUGAGGGUUUCCGCCCUUAAGUGCCGCAGCUAACGCAUUAAGCACUCCGCCUGGGGAGUACGACCGCAAGGUUGAAACUCAAAGGAAUUGACGGGGACCCGCACAAGCGGUGGAGCAUGUGGUUUAAUUCGAAGCAACGCGAAGAACCUUACCAGGUCUUGACAUCCCUUGACAACUCCAGAGAUGGAGUGUUCCCUUCGGGGACAAGGUGACAGGUGGUGCAUGGUUGUCGUCAGCUCGUGUCGUGAGAUGUUGGGUUAAGUCCCGCAACGAGCGCAACCCUUAUUACUAGUUGCCAGCAUUCAGUUGGGCACUCUAGUGAGACUGCCGGUGACAAACCGGAGGAAGGUGGGGAUGACGUCAAAUCAUCAUGCCCCUUAUGACCUGGGCUACACACGUGCUACAAUGGCGUAUACAACGAGUUGCCAACCCGCGAGGGUGAGCUAAUCUCUUAAAGUACGUCUCAGUUCGGAUUGUAGGCUGCAACUCGCCUACAUGAAGUCGGAAUCGCUAGUAAUCGCGGAUCAGCACGCCGCGGUGAAUACGUUCCCGGGUCUUGUACACACCGCCCGUCACACCAUGAGAGUUUGUAACACCCAAAGCCGGUGGGGUAACCUUCGGGAGCCAGCCGUCUAAGGUGGGACAGAUGAUUAGGGUG